rfam:Schizopora paradoxa strain KTC8140 unplaced genomic scaffold SCHPAscaffold_00002, whole genome shotgun sequence.
GACACCUUACUCAAGUGGUUACGAGGUCAGACUUGAAUUGGUCAUGUUAUCUGAUGGGGUUUCCCCGCGUAGGUUCAAAUCCUGCAGGUGUCG